GAGCUACGCCGAGCCAAUAUAGUGUGUGUUAGUUAUAGUGUGUACAGUGAGCGAGCGCAGCGGUGGUGAGUGCACGCGCGUUACGGCGGGUUUGACAAUAAUAUAAUAUUUAUGCGGCCGCGCGUGUCGUGUGCGGGACAACGUCUCGCGCGUCGUCGUCGGAAACAAUUCUAACGGCAAUAACGACAACUGCAGUGUAACGACGAGAUAAUANUUUUUUUUUUUUUUUUUUUUUUAUUUUUUUUUUCUAUUUGAUCGCUAAAAAAUUUUUCCAAUUUUUCGAACGCGUCUCCGAAGGCGACCACCGAACUCGCGAACUCGCGCGUAACGAAAACAAAAACAGCGUCCGGCCGUCGCAGCCGUCGCAGCAGCCUCCGUCGCCGUCGCAUAGUCUGCUGCCGUCCGUCGCGCGCGCCCCCUUUCCGGUCGGUCGGCGGCCG